AAUCAACGCUGGCGGCGUGCCUAACACAUGCAAGUCGCACGAGAAAGGGUCUUCGGAUCUGAGUAAAGUGGCGCACGGGUGAGUAACACGUGAAUUAUCUACCUUCGAGUGGGGAAUAACUUCGGGAAACCGAGGCUAAUACCGCAUAAUAUCUACGGAUCAAAGCAGUAAUGCGCUUGAAGAGGAGUUCGCGGCAGAUUAGUUAGUUGGCGGGGUAAUGGCCCACCAAGACGAUGAUCUGUAUCCGGCCUGAGAGGGCGCACGGACACACUGGAACUGCAACACGGUCCAGACUCCUACGGGAGGCAGCAGUGGGGAAUUUUGCGCAAUGGGGGAAACCCUGACGCAGCUACGCCGCGUGGAGGAUGAAGUCUCUUGGGACGUAAACUCCUUUCGAUAGGGAAGAUUAUGACGGUACCUAUAGAAGAAGCCCCGGCUAACUUCGUGCCAGCAGCCGCGGUAA
rnacentral:rRNA from 1 species